UACAGAGGUGGCAAGCGUUGUUCGGAUUUAUUGGGCGUAAAGGGUCCGUAGGCGGUCCGUAAAGUUGGAUGUGAAAUCCCACAGCUUAACUGUGGAACUGCAUUCAAAACUCACGGACUAGAGUAUGGAAGGGGUGAGGGGAAUUCCCGGUGUAAGGGUGAAAUGCGUAGAGAUCGGGGGGAACACCCGUGGCGAAGGCGGCCAGCUGGGCCGGUCCUGACGCUGAGGCGCGAAGGCGUGGGGAGCGAACGGG
rnacentral:rRNA from 1 species